rnacentral:lncRNA from 1 species
AUAAAGAAAUUGAAUAGAAGGAGCUACUUUUUUUUCCACUAUAAUUUAUAAAAUAAGUGUUUAAAUGGCCUUCAAAAGUAAGUAAAUAAAUCCGAAACAUAUAAAAUGCGGUUAAUCCCGCUGUUGAACAAGCUAUUAUUGCAAAAAUUGGCGAAAAUAACAAACUAUCAUUAAGAAUUUCAUCUUUAGACCAAAAACAAGCAAGGGGGGGAAUACCACAAAGUGAGAGUGUUCCUACUAAAAAGGCAGUUUUUGUAAUCGGCACAUGUUUUGUCAAACCACCCAUAAGAAUCAUAUUCUGACUUUUAUCAGGAGAAUAGCCAACUAUAGCUUCCAUUGAAUGAAUAAUGGAUCCAGAUCCUAAAAACAACAAAGCUUUCGAAUAAGCAUGAGUAAUCAAAUGAAAUAAAGCGGAUCUAUAAGACCCCAUACCUAGAGCUAACAUCAUAUAACCCAGUUGAGACAUUGUAGAAUAGGCUAAACCUCUCUUAAUAUCUUUUUGAGCAAGAGCUAAAGUGGCUCCUAAGAGUACUGUUAUUAUACCUAUCAAAGAUAUUAUAUACAUUAUAGAAGGGAUAACUAUAAAAAGAGGAAGAAGACGAGCUACAAGAAAAAUUCCCGCUGCUACCAUAGUAGCAGCAUGUAUAAGAGCCGAAAUAGGAGUAGGGCCCUCCAUGGCAUCCGGCAACCAUACAUGAAGAGGAAAUUGUGCAGAUUUAGCAAUAGGACCCACAAAUAAUAGAAAUGCACACAAAGUAAGGAAUAAGAGAUUUAUUCUAUUAUUUAAUAUUAAAUUAUUGAAUAUUUCGAACAAAUCUUGAAAUUCGAAACUGCCAGUUAUCCAAUAAAGACCUAAAAUUCCUAAUAAUAAACCAAAAUCCCCUACACNNNNNNNNNNNNNNNNNNNNNNNNNNNNNNNNNNNNNNNNNNNNNNNNNNNNNNNNNNNNNNNNNNNNNNNNNNNNNNNNNNNNNNNNNNNNNNNNNNGACAGGCAUUCGCUGCAAUAGGUCGUGUGAACCAAAAACCUAUUAAUAAAUACGAACACAUUCCAACUAAUUCCCAAAAAAAAUAAACUUGGAUCAAAUUAGAACUAGUAACUAAUCCUAACAUUGAAGUAUUAAAAAAACCCAUAUAAGCAAAAAACCUCAGAUAUCCUUGAUCAUGAGACAUAUAAUUAUCACUAUAAAUCAGAACCAAAAUUCCAACAGUUGUAAUUAAUAUUGACAUAAUAGAAGUAAGUGGAUCAAUAAAGUAACCGAACUCAAAAGAAAAUUCAUUAUUUAUGGUCCAAGACCAUACAUUUUGAUGAAUGCAACUUAGAAAAAUUUGUUGAAUAGAUAGAUAGAGCGAAAAGAUCAUAACUAUACUUAACAAAAAAAUACUCAGAAACGUCCACAUACGUCGAAGGUUUUUUGUUGCUGUCGGAAAAAGUAGAAGUCCAGCUCCGAGUAAAAUAGGUACUGGAAGUGGAAUGAAAGGGAUGAUCCAUGAAUAUUGAUAUGUAUGUUCCAUAAAAUAAAAAACCCUUUUUAUUUUAUUCUUAAAUUUAUUAUUUCUUAUUCACUGGUUUGUAUAUAUAUAUAUUUUUUUCAAAGGGGAUAAUAAAAAAGCGCAUUUUUUCAAACUUAAAUAGAAAUUUUUUCGAAUUAGUAUAAUCCUUCAUAAACCUUUGAAAAGAAAUAUAUUCAAAUCAAAAAAUUAGAAGUUAUUAACUAAUAUUACUAAGUUACUGUAAAAAAAACGAUUUGUCUUUUUUUUUUUUUUACUACUAAAAAAAAUUUUGAUUUUAUGCAGAUACAGAAAAAGUGAAUUAUAAUUCCGUAUUACAAUAAUUUAUAUACAUAUAUUAAGAAUAGAACAAAGAUUUACACGACAAAAAAAUACUUAAUAUUAAGUAUAAAAAAAAGUUAUUUGGGUUUGAUUAUUUAGAAUUAUUAUUGAAUUAUGGAAUUUAGUGAUUGUCUUCCAGUACACUAAGUGAGCUUUUUUUUUUCAAGAAAUAUUAUUAUAAUCGAUAUUUUUUUUUACAUAUGAAGUGAAGAAAUUUAAUAAAAUUUUUUCUAAUAUAAUCUAAAUCUAUCAGUAUAGAUUAAUUAAAUGAGCACUCUUAUACGGAUUUAAAACGUUAAAUACAAAAAAUUUUUCAAGAAAAAGGGAAAAAAUAGUUGGGUUUUAAACUUUUGAAUGUCUGUUUUGUUUGAAAAAUAAUAUAUAAUAAAAUUUGAAAGAAAAAAAUUACUCAAUAUGGAGUACGAAAGAAUAGAAUAAUAAAUGUCUUUGACAUCCAAUUAUACCACUGAAAAACUUUUUUCAUUUUUGAAUGGCAGUUCCAAAAAAACGUACUUCUAUCUCGAAAAAGCGUAUUCGUAAAAAAAUUUGGAAAAGGAAGGGAUAUUGGACAUCGUUGAAAGCUUUUUCCUUAGGGAAAUCGCUUUCUACAGGUAAUUCAAAAAGUUUUUUUGUACAACAAAAUAAAUAAAAAACACUAGAAUCAUUAGAAUUAGCCUAACGUAAAAACCAAUUUUUUAGAAUACAUAUAAAUUAAAAAAAUCUAUAGGAACCAAAAAAAAAAAAAAAAAAGAUAAUAUAUAUAUAUACGAAAUAUACGAAAGAUUCAAUUAAAAAAAAUUAAAGGAACAAAAAAAAAAAAAAAAAAAGAUAAUAUAUAUAUAUACGAAAUAUACGAAAGAUUCCUAUUGAUUUUGUAAAAAAAAGGGGGGGUUAUUACUUUCCCCAUCAAUAAAAAAAUAAAUAAAGAUCUUGUAUUUCCUCUUAACUAGGAAAUACAAGAUCUUUUAGCGAAAUCAACAGGUUCUUUAAAUUAAUUUAAGUCAAAAAUUUUUCACUUUAUACCUUUAGGAAUUAUUAUUUCUCUUAAUUCUUAUAUUCUUUACUUGGAAUCAAAGUUAUAAAAGUAUCUAUCCACGAUUAAGUGAAUAUUAGAUACUAAUAAGUAAUAAUAUAUGAUAUUUUUUUUAAGCGAUCAAAAAAUAUUAUGUUUGUACAAUAUAAAAAGAUGCAUGAAAAUAGAUAUUUUGACAAUUGUUGUUUUUCAUUUUUCUUGAGCAACUUAGGCAAAUUUUAGUUAAAAUUUCUAAGGAUUUUGGAGAAGUUUUAAUUUUUAGAAAAAGCAUUUUUUUAGUAAUAAAAUCAAUUUUAAAUUCCAUUAAAUUAGCUUCUUUAUUUAAAAUUUGAAUCUCGACGAUUGAGUAAAAACUUGUUAGUAUUAUUUUGAACAAGUUGCCGCUAUGGUGAAAUUGGUAGACACGCUGCUCUUAGGAAGCAGUGCUAGAGCAUCUCGGUUCGAGUCCGAGUAGCGGCAUAAGAUCUUAUAAAAGAGAUAUUAUAAGUUUUAUAAUCAAAUUAAUACCCGACUUGUUUUCUAAAAUCGGGUAAAACCUAGUAUUAAUUUAUUAAUUUUUAACAAAUUUUUUAUGAUUUUUUCAAUUUUAGAGCAUAUAUUAACUCAUAUAUCUUUUUCGGUCGUUUCAAUUGUACUACUAAUUUAUUUUUUAACUUUAUUAGUUAAUUUAGAUGAAAUCAUAGGAUUUUUUGAUUCAUCAGAUAAAGGAAUCGUAAUUACGUUUUUUGGUAUAACAGGAUUAUUAUUUACGCGUUGGAUUUAUUCAGGACAUUUUCCAUUAAGCAAUUUAUAUGAAUCAUUAAUUUUUCUUUCAUGGGCUUUUGCAAUUAUUCAUAUAGUUUCCUAUUUUAAUAAAAAAAAAAAAAAAAAAAUUACUUAAACGCAAUAACUGCGCCAAGUGCUAUUUUUAUUCAGGGUUUUGCUACUUCAGGUCUUUUAAACAACAUGCCUCAGUCUGCAAUAUUAGUACCAGCUCUCCAGUCCCAGUGGUUAAUGAUGCACGUAAGUAUGAUGAUAUUAGGCUAUGGCGCUCUGUUAUGCGGAUCAUUAUUAUCAAUAGCUCUUCUAGUCAUUACAUUUCGCAAGGUCGGAUCUACUUUUUGGAAAAAGAAUAUGAAAAAUAAAAUGUUAUUAAAUGAAUUAUUUUCUUUUGAUGUACUUUACUACAUAAAUGAAAGAAAUUCUAUUUUACUACAACAAAAUAUUAAUUUUAGUUUUUCUAGAAAUUAUUAUAGGUAUCAAUUGAUUGAACAAUUAGAUUAUUGGAGUUUUCGUAUUAUUAGUCUCGGAUUUAUCUUUUUAACCGUCGGCAUUCUUUCAGGAGCUGUAUGGGCUAAUGAAACAUGGGGUUCAUAUUGGAAUUGGGAUCCGAAAGAAACCUGGGCAUUUAUUACUUGGACCAUCUUCGCAAUUUAUUUACAUAUUAAAACAAAUAGGAAUGCUCGAGGUAUAAAUUCUGCAAUUGUGGCUUCGCUAGGUUUUCUUUUAAUUUGGAUAUGCUAUUUUGGCGUCAAUCUUUUAGGAAUAGGUUUACAUAGUUAUGGUUCAUUUACAUCGAAUUAACUAAAACAUUAACAAAAAAAGAAAAGAAUCCAAAUAAAAAAAAUAGCAUCUAUAUAUAACUUCAUCUAAGUUAAGAAAUCUAAUUUAGUUUUAGUAGUAAAUCAUCAAGAACCUUUUGAAUCAAGUAGUACAAUGAUUCAAAAGGUUCUCACAAUACAAAAAGCAAAGACUUCUUAUUAUAAUUCAAUUUAAUGUUUUUUUUUAUUUCCUGAAAACUAUCCAUAAAAAUAAUUAGAUAAAAUGGAUUCGACCUUGUCACUUGCUAAUGAGAGCACAAAAUCAGGAUAAAUCCCAAUACCAAUUAUGGGUAGAAGAAUAGAGAUUGAAAGAAAUAACUCUCGGGGUCCAGAAUCAAAAAAAGAAAAGUUUUUGGCAUUAAUUAACUUGUAUCCAUAGAACAUUUGACGUGACAUAGAUAAUAAAUAUAUAGGAGUUAAUAUCAUUCCAAUUGCCAUUACAAAAAUAAUUAAAAUUUUUGAAAUUAAGAAAUAUUUUUGGCUGGUAAUUAUUCCAAAAAAAACGAUUAAUUCGGCAACAAAACCACUCAUGCCCGGUAAUGCAAGGGAAGCCAUCGAUAAGAUAGUGAACAUUGUAAAUAUCUUUGGAAUGGAGAUAGCCAUUCCACCCAUUUCAUCAAGAUAAACAAGCCGGAUUCUAUCAUAACUAGUUCCUGCCAAGAAAAAAAGUGCAGCGCCAAUAAAUCCAUGAGAGAUUAUUUGUAAAAUAGCUCCAUUAAGCCCAGGAUCCGUUAUAGAACCAAUACCUAUAAUUAUAAAACCCAUAUGAGAUACAGAAGAAUAGGCUAUUCUCUUUUUUAAAUUACGUUGACCGGGAGAUGUUGAAGCUGCAUAAAUUAUUUGGAUUGUACCGACUACCAUCAACCAAGGAGAAAACAUAGAAUGAGCGUGAGGUAAUAAUUCCAUAUUGAUUCGAACCAAUCCAUAUGCUCCCAUUUUUAAUAAGAUUCCAGCGAGAAGCAUACAGGUACUGUAAUGUGCCUCGCCGUGGGUGUCAGGUAACCAAGUAUGUAAAGGUAUAAUCGGUGAUUUGACGGCAAAAGCAAUAAGAAAUCCAAUAUAAAAGAGUAUUUCGAGUGUGACCGGAUAGGCUUGAUUCCCUAAUAGUUCUAAAUUUAAUGUUGGUUCGUUCGAACCAUAUAAACUUAUACCUAAAACUCCUAUUAAUAAAAAAAUAGAACUUCCUGCAGUGUAUAAAAUAAAUUUUGUAGCUGAAUACAAACGUUUCUUUCCACCCCACAUGGAUAAAAGGAGAUAAACGGGAAUUAAUUCUAAUUCCCACAUGAUGAAAAAAAGUAAAAUAUCCCGAGAAGAAAACGAUCCUAUUUGGCCGCUGUACAUUGCUAACAUCAGGAAAUAGAAUAAUCGGGAAUCCCGAGUAACUGGAAAAGCCGCUAAAGUAGCUAAAGUAGUAAUAAAUCCGGUCAGUAAAAUCGUUCCUAUAGAAAGUCCAUCUAUUCCCAGUCUCCAAUAAAAAUCAAAAAGAUUGAUCCAUUUAUAAUCUUCGGACAGUUGAAUUAAUGGAUCGUCCAGUUUAAAAUUAUAACAAAAAGCGUAAGUCGUUAGAAGAAGUUCUAAGAUACAAAUGCAUAUAGUAUACCACUUAUUAACUUUAUUUCCCCUAUGCGGGAGAAAUAACAUUAAUGAACCGGCAGAUAUUGGAAAAACAACAAUUAUUGUUAACCAAGGAAAAUCAUUCGUGGUAAAGACAAGAUACACCAGGUCCAAAGAACGCGUACUCAAAAAAAUAUAUAAAUAAAAAAAUAUAAUUGAACUUUUUUGAGUACGAGUACUUGUCAAUAAAAAAAAUAAAAUGUAUUCCAAAUUUAUUCAAAUCAGGUUUUCGGUAACGUAUUAAUAAGCUAGACCCAUGCUUCGAGUUGUUUCAUGCCAUAAAUAAACUCGAACGCUCAAAAAAUCCGUUGGACAGGCAGAUUCACAUCUCUUACAACCAACACAAUCCUCGGUUCUUGGGGCAGAAGCUAUUUGCUUAGCUUUACAUCCAUCCCAAGGUAUCAUUUCUAAUACGUCUGUAGGACAUGCUCGGACACACUGAGUACAUCCUAUACAGGUAUCAUAAAUUUUUACUGAAUGUGACAUAGGAUCUAUAGUUUUUUUAAUGUCAUAAAUUUUCAAUCUAGUAAACUUAUAACUAAAUGAUAUAUUAAAUUAAAAUACUAGAUGAAGCAAUGAUUUCUUUUAAUAGAAUUUUUUAAUGAAUUCUGGCUCAAUUGGUAAAAAAUGGGGCUAAAAUACUUUGAUUUCUUAAAUUUUCACAAAUUUAAUCUAGUAAGUCAUAACCUAUCAUAUAUGCAAAUUUAAACCUAUAAUUUUUUGAUUUAUGCUACUUAUUUAAUAAGGUCGAUUGGUUGAUGCGAGUUGAUUUUCUGUUACGAUAAAUUGACGAGACUAUAGCUAAUCCAAUAGCUGCUUCAGCGGCUGCAAUUGCUAUAACAAAAAUGCAGAAAAUAUCCCCUUUUAGUUGGGAAUUAUCAAAAAAAUCAGCAAAUGUUACGAGAUUCAUAUUAACUGCAUUGAGUAUAAGUUCAAGGCACAUAAGAGCCCUAACCAUAUUUCGACUCGUGAUCAAUCCAUAAAGACCAAUCAAAAAUAAAUAGGCACUCAAAACAAGUACAUGUUCGAGUAUCAUUGAGCAACUCCUUAUCAAUUUUGAUUCAUUAUCAAUAUGAAUAAUAAAAACAAUUCACCGGAUUCAAUCAACUAGAAUAUAACAACAAAGUACGAAUAAAAACUAUAUUAGGGAAAAAAUUUCAAAUAUAUAUAAAAUAUAAAAAUUUAUAUUUAAAAAAUGAAAUAGUAUUCAAUCAAAUUGAAUGAACGGAAAAAAAUAUCAUAACAUACACAAACACAAAGUUUUCUUUGGUCUUUACUAAUUGGAACCUUUUUUAUUGACGAGCCACAGAAAUUGCACCUAUCAAAGCAACUAAAAGAAUUAUUGAAAUGAGUUCAAAUGGAAGAAAAAAAUCUGUUGAUAAAUGAAUUCCUAUUUGUUGACUAUUACUUAUUAAAUCUUGUUCUAAAAUCUGGUUUAAUCUUGUAGUCCAAAUAACCCCGUACCAUGACGUAUCGAGAAUAGUAGAAAUUAAUGAAAAAAGAAUAGUUGUACAAACCACUGAAGUAAUCCCAUUCCCAACAGUCCACAGAUUGAAAUCUAUGGAAUAUUCGGAAUCAUUCAUGAACAUCACAGCAAAUAUGAUUAAAACAUUUAUGGCUCCCACGUAAAUAAGGAGUUGUGCAGCAGCUACAAAAUGGGAAUUUGCUAGAAUAUACAAUAAAGAUAUACAAACAAGAACAAAUCCUAAGGAAAAGGCUGAAAAUAUUGGGUUAGGAAGUAAUACCACUCCCAGACCUCCUACUAGAAGACCAGAUCCCAGAAAAACUAAAAGAAAAUCAUGUAUUGGUCCAGGCAAAUCCAUUAUAUUAUUAAAAAAAGAAAAAAUAGAAAUCCUUUUCAUGACCUUAUUAAUUUAACCGGGGAAUUUUUUUUUAAUAUGUUUCUAAUAGAGUGAAAUUAGAAUCUAAUGAAUAUUAAUUGAUGUAGAUACAAUUAUUAGACAGUUUCGCUUUUUUAUUCUAAUAUUUUCAACCUAUCUAUUUCAAGCAAGAUAAUAAUUACGAAAAUAUUAUAUUAAAAGGAUGAGCCUUAAUACUUAAUAUUAUUCUAUAAAUACAAGUUUUUAAUUAAAUUCUUUAUAUAAUAUAAUUCAACAGUUUUGCAUUCUUUUUUUAAUAAAAUUAAUGGGUUUACCCAUUUUUUGUUUGAGGUGAAUUCAAAAUUGUUCGAAUAGUAUAAUCGUCAAUUACUGACAUUGGUAAACGCCCCAAAGCGAUUUGAUUAUAAUUCAACUCGUGACGAUCAUAAGUUGAAAACUCAUAUUCUUCAGUCAUUGACAAACAAUUUGUUGGACAAUACUCAACACAAUUACCACAAAAUAUACAAAUUCCAAAAUCAAUACUGUAAUUAAGCAAUCGUUUUUUUCGAAUAUUAGUUUCCAAUUUCCAAUCAACAACCGGCAGAUCUAUAGGACAUACUCGAACACAUACUUCACAAGCAAUGCAUUUAUCAAAUUCGAAAUGGAUUCGACCGCGGAAACGUUCUGAUGUUAUUAAUUUUUCAUAGGGAUAUUGAAUAGUUACAGGUAAACGAUUUGUGUGGGAUAAGGUAAUCAUGAAACCCUGACCAAUAUACCUUGCAGCUCGUAGGGUUUGUUGACCAUAAUUCAUGAACCCGGUUAUCAUAGGAAGCAUAUUGUAAUUAUCUAUGAAUAAUUUGAUCUUUGUUUCUUUCUCUUGUUUAAAACAAGUAAUGAAUAUCUUGGAUUGAUUUUCAAUUUAGAGUGAAAAGAGUUGGAAAGAAGUUGUUAAUAAUAGAUUACCAAGGGAAAUCGGUAAAAGAAAUUUCCAUCCAAGAUUUAAUAGUUGAUCCAUUCUUAGCCUAGGUAAAGUCCAUCUGGUUGCGAUAGAAAUGAACAAGAACAAAUAAGUUUUAGCUAAUGUAAUAAAGAUACCAAUUGUUGUUCCAAAAAUUUGAUCCUUUUCAAAUAGCUCCAGCAUAGAUAUAUACGGAAUAGAAAUAUUCCAACCGCCUAAGUAUAGAACUGUUACAAAUAAUGAGGAAAUUAAUAGAUUUAGAUAAGAAGCAACAUAAAAUAAACCAAAUUUGAUACCGGAAUAUUCAGUUUGAUAACCUGCUAUUAAUUCUUCUUCCGCUUCUGGUAAAUCAAAAGGUAACCUCUCGCAUUCUGCUAGGGAAGAAAUUAGAAAAAUGAUAAAACCUAUAGGUUGACGCCACAAAUUCCAUCCCCAAAAACCAUAUUUUGAUUGUGCCUCAACUAUAUCAACUGUACUUAAACUGUUAGAUAAUCCUAGUCGGUGAUAACAUUACUAUUCUCACCGCUAUUACAAAACCGUACAUGAGGUUUUCGCCUCAUACGGCUCCUCGGGGGCCGUAAAUAAAUAUAAGGACCAGAUUAGUAUUAUUUAGAUGGAUAUGAUGUGUUCUAAAAUGGAUUAAAUAGAAAUAUAUCUGGGGUCCCGAAUUAUACCAAUGGAAUUCUGUCUGCUCAAAUUCUAAAACUAAAAAACGCGCUUCGGAAUUCAUCUCAUCCUUUACAAAUUUUAAUUUCUAUUUGUUGAGUAAUAACUUAAUCCUUUAAUAAAGCACCCCUUGUAAAACUAAACCUAGGUUUUUCAGCCCGUCGUGUUUUUCAAUUACGAAAAAGAAUUAAACAUCCUAUUAGUUUCUUAUUCAUGAUAGAAAUUCUAUUUUAUUUUCGAAAUCUAUAAAAAAAAAUAUACUUGUUUCGUUCCUAUUCUUCUUUCUUUCUUUUUUAGAAAAAAAGUAGGUGGACUUAAAAAAAAAUAAAGGAUUAUUUCGUUUCUGAUAGUCAUUACAUUUAUCGGUGGAUGGGAGCAUACUCUGAAUCGGAAUCUUGGGGAGUACUGCCUGAUAAUUUCUACAAAUUUCAAGCCCCAAUUAACCUUCUUUUUUUGUUAUCUUAUGUUAUGCAUAAAUAUCCUUUUCAAUUUGGUUAAUCUCUAUUACAAAUUCUUUGUGUAUUUUGGUGUUUCUAACCAUCCACGCGUUUUUACCUAAUUGCCGAUCACUUUGUAAUAUAUGUAUAUGUAUAGUAAUUUAUAUAACUGAUAGUGAAAACGUCAUACGGUUAAUAUUUUUUUUAACCCGCUUCAAGCCCGGCUGACUAAUCAACCAACCUUGGGGUAAAGCGAUUCUUACGCUUACGUUUAUUUCCAUUUAACCUUUGUACAUAGGAAAUGAGACUUAAUUUUUCUUUUUACUGCUAAUUUCUGAGCAGUUUUUUUUCACUCAUAUAUAACUAUCAAAUUCAAAUUCCUUUUAUUAAGAUAAACCCGAAAGAUAAAUAUAUAUAUUCCGUUUUUUUUUUCAUUUUUUUUUUAUCUAGAAGAAACGGAAUAAACCUUUCUGUUUCAACGAAUCGCACGUAGAGAUAUUGAUAAAACACAUAGAGUUAAUGGUAUUUCAUAACUAAUCGCUUGAGCAGCAGCUCGCAGACCACCUAAAAAAGAAUAUUUAUUAUUUGAUCCAUAUCCUGACAUAAGAAGUCCGAUCGGAGCAACACUUGAGAUGGCAAUCCAUAAAAAAAUACCGAUAUUGAGAUCCGCUAAAACAAGGUGAUUGCUAAAAGGAAUUACUGAAUAACUUAGUAAAAUAGAGAUAACUGCUAUAGAUGGUCCAAUACUAAAUAAAGGAGUAUUUCCUCUAGAUGGACGAAGAUCUUCUUUGAAAAGUAGUUUUGUCCCGUCGGCUAAAGCUUGAAGAAUUCCUAACGGGCCGGCGUAUUCAGGUCCAAUACGUUGUUGUAUCCCUGCAGAUAUUUCUCUUUCUAACCACACAAUUACUAGUACACCAGUUAUGAUUCCCAAUACAAGAGAAAAUAUAGGGACAAAUAUCCAUAUGAGUCCAUAGACCUCUUUUAAAGAUUCCAAUCUAAGAAAAGAAUUUAUUGUUUGUACUUCUGUUGCAUAAAUUAUCAUUUUAACGAUCAACUUCUCCCAUAAUUAUAUCUAUGCUACCGAGUAUCGUCAUAAUAUCAGCCAAUUUCAUUCUUUUAACUAGUUCAGGAAGAAUUUGCAAAUUAAUAAAACCCGGCGGUCGGAUUUUCCAUCUCCAAGGAAAACCACUUUGAUCUCCUAUGAGAAAAAUUCCCAAUUCCCCUUUUGGAGCUUCAACUCUUACGUAAAGUUCUUGUUUCGAUAAUUCAAAAGUAGGGGAAGGUUUUUUACUAAUGAAUCGAUAUUCAAAAUCAUUCCACUCUGGAUUCCUUUUUUUAUCAAAGCCUCUGCUUUCUAAAUUUUCAUAGGGACCCCCCGGAAGUCCUUCCAGAGCCUGUUGAAUAAUUUUGAUGGAUUCUGUCAUUUCGCUAAGUCGUACUAAAUAACGAGCUAAUGAAUCUCCUUGUUUUUGCCACUGAAUUUCCCAUUCAAAUUCAUCGUAAGACUCAUAACGAUCAACUUUACGAAGAUCCCAUGGUAUUCCGGAUGCGCGUAACAUUGGUCCGGAUAAACCCCAAUUUAUUGCUUCUUCCCCACCAAUAAUCCCAACGCCUUCAACUCGUUCUAAAAAAAUAGGAUUUCGUGUAAUAAGUUUUUGAUAUUCAACAACCUCUGUUAAAAAAUAAUCACAAAAAUCCAAGCAUUUAUCUAUCCAACCAUAAGGUAAAUCCGCCGCUAUUCCUCCAAUACGAAAAAAAUUAUGCAUCAUUCUCAUACCGGUGGCAGCUUCGAAUAGAUCAUAUACAAAUUCUCGUUCUCUGAAAAUAUAGAAAAAGGGAGUCUGUGCCCCAAUAUCUGCCAUAAAAGGGCCAAGCCAUAACAGAUGAGAAGCUAUACGACUCAAUUCUAGCAUAAUUACUCUGAUAUAGCUGGCUCUUUUAGGAACUUGAAUAUUUCCUAAUUGUUCGGGUCCGUUUACUGUUAUUGCUUCUGUAAACAUAGUAGCUAAAUAAUCCCACCGCGUUACAUAAGGUAAAUAUUGUAUAAUUGCUCGGUUUUCUGCAAUUUUUUCCAUUCCUCUGUGUAAAUAACCCAAUAUGGGUUCACAAUCAACAACAUCCUCACCGUCUAGAGUAACAAUUAAGCGAAGAACACCGUGCAUGGAUGGGUGGUGAGGUCCCAUAUUGACUAUCAUAAGAUCUUUUCCUGUAACUGGUCUCUUCAUAAGUUUUUCCUUGAUUCGUUCUGGUAUGAAUUAGAUUGCUGAAAAAGAAGUUUAUUCAAAAAUUCAAGAUCUAAAAAAUUAACUAAUUCACAAUUUUGGAAUUUAACGAGUUUUUAAUUCCCGAAUAUUCAACUGAUUAAUUAAUUCUUUAUAACGUACUCUAUUUUUUUUUGACAAAUAAGCCAGCAGUCGUUGACGUUUUCCCAGAAUUUUUCGUAGACCUCUCUGAGAUAAAUAAUCUUUUCUGUGCAAUUCCAAAUGUGAAGUAAGUCUUCGUAUCUUAUUAGUGAAACUGACUACUUGAAAUUCAACAGAUCCCUUGCUUUCUUCUUUUUUUUCUUGAAAUGAAAUGAAUGUAUUUUUUAUCAUAAAAAGAAAUCCUUCCCUUUUUAAUAUGAAUUGAAAGAUAUGAAUUUUACUGAUCAGUAAUAAUAAUGGUAGUUUUUUUGUACAAGGAUCCGAAUUUAAUUAUCAACUUAUUAAUUCUUAAUUUUAUAAAAAAAAAGUUUAAAUUUCGAUCUAAAAAAGGAGGAUUUUAAAAAUUUAUUUAUGAAUUCGCUCUGAGUGGUAUCUAUGUCAUUAAUUCAAUGAAUCUCAUGUAUAAAGAUUGAAUUAAAAAAAAUCCCUCACAUUUGUGCAUCCAAUUGUUUUCAUAUACCGUAACUUAUAUUAUAUAUUGUUCAUAUACCGUAACUUAAUACUAUAUAUAUAGUCAAAAUAUAGUAAAAAGGAUCUACCAUUAAUGCAUUUGAAAUCGCGUAUACAUGUGUAUUCUUAUCAUACUGAAAUGAUUUCCAUUAGUCGUAUUAAACCAAUAGCGAUUCAUACAAGCUAAAUCUUCUAAUCGAAAAUUGGGCCAAAGAAAGGAUUUUAAUUUAAUUAGGUUUUUUUUAUCCUUAUCAAGAUCUUUCUUUUUAUUCAAAACUGUGGUCAAGUUUUGAAUAUUUGUAUCAAAUUUUGAAUUUCUAUCCCUUGCAUUUUUUUUUUUUAAAUUGAAACAAAUUAGAAUUCGAAAUUCUUUACGUCGUUUAGGGGAUAGAAUAGUUUCAGGGACAAAGAAAUUUAAACUUUUUUUUUUAUAAAUAUAGCUUUUUUUUUUUGAUCUUUUACUUAUUUUUUGUUUAUUUUUAUGAACCAAUGAAAUCCCGAUGGUUCUAUAUAUAAUAAGUUGGCCGUCGUUUUUUACAGACAAACGAACAGGUUCAACAAUCAAUAUUCCUUUUUUCAUUAAUUUUGAAAAAGUGAAAUUCUUCUCAAUCAUUAGAAUAUCUAAGCUCAUCUCUCCUCUUUCAAUACAAGAUAUCGUUAUCUCGGUUGGAUUUUUUAGUCUAACCAAGAGACAGUAUGCUUUUACAUUAUUGAGGAUUUUUUGAUUAAAAAAACAAUUCCAUCGCAAUUGAAAACGCGAAUACCUUUUGAGAAAUAAGUCAAGUUCCGCUUCGGUAUUGCUUUUUGGUUUUUUUUUAUUUUUACGUUUUUUUAUCUUCGAUUCUGUAUAAUUUUCUUCAAUAUUUUUUUCUUGCUUUGAUAGAGCUGAUUCCGUAUUUAUUUUUGUUUCUUUAUCUGAUUCAAACUCUUCUUGACCUGCUGAUUCGUUUUCUUCUUUAUUUAGAUUAAAAAACCGAAGGAAUUUUUUUUCGUUUGAUGGUAUAAAACCUUUUUUCUUUAGGGUGAUCUGUUUAUUCACAUUUUUUGUUUCAUUAAAAUUGAAAAGAAGUGAUUUAAUUGGUAUGACCCACGGUUUCAUUUUAUAUGUACUAGAAAAUAAGAAAAAUUCUGGAAAGAAAAAAAAGUCAAAAUUUGUUAUACGAGGAUUUAGUAUUUCUUCAUUCAUUCCCAUCCAAUCAAAAAAAUUUAUUUUUUGAUUGGCAAGACUCGUCUUAGUUAUUUUAUAAAUUCUUUUAUAAUUCUUAACUUUAGUUUUAAUAUAUUUUUUUUUACUCCUAGUAUCAAGCUCAAUAUUUACUUUUUUUCUAAACCAAAAGUUGAGAAUUCUCCAAUCCAAAUAUUUUCUAUGCAAAAUUUCCCCUAUACUGCGAAUAUUAUAUUUUUCUAGAAAACAAGAGAUUAAAAAAUUUUCUAGGCCUGUAGACAUAUCAAAAAAUUUUUCUGUAGAAUGAAUAGAUUUGUAGCAAAAAAGAUUAUAUAUAGAAUCCUUUUUGAAAUUCUGUUUAUGUUUUGGAUUGAAAAAUAAGUUAGCCUCACAAAAAUUUUGUUUUUUGUAAUUAUCAAAAAUUUUUUUUUCGUAUGAAUCCACUUUGUUUAAACUUGGAUUUAGAACUAGAGAGUCUUGGUUUAGUUUUUUUUUCCAUUUUUGGGUUACUAAUCUAGCCCAUGCAAUCUGAGGUAAAUUAUAUUGAGAAUGACUUCGUAACCAGUUUUUCCAUUGAUUUAUUUCGGAAUUUAAAAGGGUUUUAUCUUUCCAUUCAUAAUGAAAGAUUCCUUGUUCUUUAAAAAAAUCUUUUAUUUGAUUCUUAACAAAAAAGGAUGUUAUGUAUAUGUUAUAUUCAAAAAAAGACUUUAAUUUAGAAAAGUUACUAACUUGAAUUUGUGAUAAUUUGUAAAAUACAUAUGCUUGUGAUAAAGAGCAUAAGUCAUAACUAAAAAAAUUUUUUUUUGAUAUGAAAUUUUUUAUAGUCGAAAUAAAAUAAAUGGUAUUUUUUUUUUUUUUUUUUCUCCAUUUUCCUCAUUCUUGUAAAUAUAUACAUCAAGAAUUUUUUUUGUUGAAUCAACAAAAAGUUGUGUAGUAAUUCUUGGAAUAUUAAUAAUACCUAGAAAAAUAGAAAUAGACAGUUGUUCAACGCAAAAUUGAAAAAAAAAAAAAGAUUUACGAAUUA